GAAGAGAGUCGUACAAGGUUUCCGUAGGUGAACCUGCGGAAGGAUCAUUC
rnacentral:rRNA from 1 species